GGCAACGAUCAGUAGGGGUUCUGAGAGGAAGGUCCCCCACAUUGGAACUGAGACACGGUCCAAACUCCUACGGGAGGCAGCAGUGAGGAAUAUUGGUCAAUGGGCGAGAGCCUGAACCAGCCAAGUAGCGUGCAGGAAGACGGCCCUAUGGGCUGUAAACUGCUUUUAUAAGGGAAUAAAGUGAGUCUCGUGAGACUUUUUGCAUGUACCUUAUGAAUAAGGACCGGCUAAUUCCGUGCCAGCAGCCGCGGUAAUACGGAAGGUCCGGGCGUUAUCCGGAUUUAUUGGGUUUAAAGGGAGCGUAGGCCGGAGAUUAAGCGUGUUGUGAAAUGUAGACGCUCAACGUCUGCACUGCAGCGCGAACUGGUUUCCUUGAGUACGCACAAAGUGGGCGGAAUUCGUGGUGUAGCGGUGAAAUGCUUAGAUAUCACGAAGAACUCCGAUUGCGAAGGCAGCUCACUGGAGCGCAACUGACGCUGAAGCUCGAAAGUGCGGGUAUCGAACAGGAUUAGAUACCCUGGUAGUCCGCACGGUAAACGAUGGAUGCCCGCUGUUGGUCUGAACAGGUCAGCGGCCAAGCGAAAGCAUUAAGCAUCCCACCUGGGGAGUACGCCGGCAACGGUGAAACUCAAAGGAAUUGACGGGGGCCCGCACAAGCGGAGGAACAUGUGGUUUAAUUCGAUGAUACGCGAGGAACCUUACCCGGGCUUGAAUUGCAGAGGAAGGAUUUGGAGACAAUGACGCCCUUCGGGGUCUCUGUGAAGGAGCUGCAUGGUUGUCGUCAGCUCGUGCCGUGAGGUGUCGGCUUAAGUGCCAUAACGAGCGCAACCCCUCUCCUUAGUUGCCAUCAGGUUAAGCUGGGCACUCUGGGGACACUGCCACCGUAAGGUGUGAGGAAGGUGGGGAUGACGUCAAAUCAGCACGGCCCUUACAUCCGGGGCUACACACGUGUUACAAUGGCAGGUACAGAGAGACGGUUGUACGUAAGUACGAUCAAAUCCUUAAAGCCUGUCUCAGUUCGGACUGGGGUCUGCGACCCGACCCCACGAAGCUGGAUUCGCUAGUAAUCGCGCAUCAGCCAUGGCGCGGUGAAUACGUUCCCGGGCCUUGUACACACCGCCCGUCAAGCCAUGAAAGCCGGGGGCGCCUAAAGUCCGUGACCGUAAGGAGCGGCCUAGGGCGAAACUGGUAAUUGGGGCUAAGUCGUAACAAGGUA
rnacentral:rRNA from 1 species